UACGUAGGGUGCGAGCGUUAAUCGGAAUUACUGGGCGUAAAGCGUGCGCAGGCGGUUUUUUAAGACAGGCGUGAAAUCCCCGGGCUUAACCUGGGAACUGCGUUUGUGACUGGAAGGCUAGAGUAUGGCAGAGGGGGGUGGAAUUCCACGUGUAGCAGUGAAAUGCGUAGAUAUGCGGAGGAACACCGAUGGCGAAGGCAAUCCCCUGGACCUGUACUGACGCUCAUGCACGAAAGCGUGGGGAGCAACAGG
rnacentral:rRNA from 1 species